GCCAGUGUGGCAUAUUGGUUUGAGUGUUGGACUAUGACUCUGGAGACUGGGGUUCAAGUCCCUGCUGAGUUA